rnacentral:lncRNA from 1 species
AUGUGUGUUCUUGGCUCUGUGUGUCUGUUUUUCGAGUCUUCCUGCGUCAUUGCACUACUCUCUCUCCCCCCUCUAUCUCUCUCUCUCUCUCGCUCAUCUUCCCUCCCUCUCACUCUCUCGCCCUCUUUCUCUCUUCCUUCCUCUCUCUCCCUCCCUUCCUCUCUCUCCCUCCCUUCCUCUCUAUCUCUCUCCCUUCCUCUCUCUCCCUUCCUUCCUCUCUCUCGCACCUCUCUCCCUCCCUCACUCUCUCCCUUCCUCUCUAACUCUUCCACUCUCCUUAUAAUUCUCCCGCUCCGUCUCUCUCUCCCUCUUACUCUAUCUCCCUCUCUAUCACUUUAUCUCUCCGUAUCUCUCCAUCUCUCUGUCUGCCUCCUUCUCUCUCUCUUGCUCUCUGUCUCUUUCUUUCUCCCUCUCUCUGUAUCUAUCUUUCUCCCUCCCUCUCUCUCUCCCUCUCUCUGUCUCUCUAUUUCUCCCCCCUCCCUCUCUCUCUCUCUGUACCUCUUUUACUCCCUCUCUCUCUCUCUCUCUCUCUCUCUCUCUCUCUCUCUCUCUCUCUCUCUCUCUCUCUCUCUCUCUCUCUCUCUCUCUCUCUCUCUCUCUCUCUCUCUCUCUCUCUCUCUCUCUAUCUAUUACUCCCUCCCUCUCUCUCUCUCUCUCUCUCUCCCUCUCUAUAUCUAUUACUCCCUCCCUCCCUCUCUCUCUCUCUCCCUCUCUCUCCCUCUCUCUCCCUGUUUAUGCAGUGAAGGGGCUCUUUCUGGCAGGGAGGACGGGAGGCAGGAUAUGCAUGCCUCCCACCGUCACUCGAUAUCUGUGGAAAAAAACGGGUCUGAUGAUUGGAUAGUGCAACACCCCCCCCCCCCCCAAACCCUGUGCUCUACAUCCCAGCUCAGUUUAUCCCCCAGCUCUCUCAGCCACCACAAGCCAAAGUACCUUGUAACACAUUGUUUUUGUUGUUGUGCUGUUGUUCUAUGUGGGGUGGGAGGAAUGUACAGUAUGGCCCAAUCCCAUUUCUACCCCUUACCCCUUCCCCUUACCCCUCCCCCUUGUUUUGAAGGGGUAAGGGGUAGAAAUGGGAUUUGGCCUAUGUAUUGCCUGAAGGGAGCCAUACUAUAUAACAAUAUUACAAGAAAUGACACAACAAACGACGCAAAAGCUCAUAAGUCAUAUGAGCUAGAGGUGGUUAUAGGGUGUUUGGACUCCCGAAGAAGUCUAACCUUUACCCCGCUGACUUCAAUUACAUUUAUCUCUAUCUUCACCAUAAUCUGUCGCUCACAACAACGAAGAAUGUAUGUGUUCGACCAAAGUCAUGGCCGAGACGCUGCACGCUGA